UACGAAGGGGGCUAGCGUUGUUCGGAAUUACGGGGCGUAAAGCGCACGUAGGCGGAUAUUUAAGUCAGGGGUGAAAUCCCAGAGCUCAACUCUGGAACUGCCUUUGAUACUGGGUAUCUCGAGUAUGGAAGAGGUGAGUGGAAUUCCGAGUGUAGAGGUGAAAUUCGUAGAUAUUCGGAGGAACACCAGUGGCGAAGGCGGCUCACUGGUCCAUUACUGACGCUGAGGUGCGAAAGCGUGGGGAGCAAACAGG
rnacentral:rRNA from 1 species